UAAUAGGAAAUUAAGAGUAUAUGGUGGAUGCCUAGACUAAAAAAGGCGAUGAAAGACGUGGCAUGGCAGCGAUAUUUUUCGGGGAGGUGCCUAGCAACCUGUGAUCCGGAAGUUUCUGAAUGGGGAAACCCACUUGCGUAAACCGCAAGUACUUUCAUACUUGAUAUGAAAGAGCAUACCCAGGGAAGUAAAACAUUUCAGUACCUGGAGGAAAAGAGAAAAAUAUUUAUUUUCUGAGUAGCGGCGAGCGAAAAGGAAAAAGCCCAAACCGAGGAAUCACACAGUGCGGAAAAUAAUUACGAAUUGGUAAUUAUUUUAUUCGUUGUGUGAUACCUCGGGGUUGUAAGAUAACAAUGUAGAUUUAUCUAGAGGAGUUAAAAAAUAUAUUAUUAGAUCAAACUUCUGGAAAGGAGUGCCAUAGAUGGUGAUAGCCCAGUGGUCGAAAAUAAUAUGUCUCUUUGAUUGUUAUUCUUGAGUAACUCAAGACACGAAUAGCUUGAGCGAAUCCGCCAGAACUAACUGGCAAGGCUAAAUACUUUUUUAGAUCGAUAGUGAACUAGUACCGUGAGGGAAAGGUGAAAAGAACCCCGAUAAGGGGAGUGAAAUAGACCUGAAACCAUAUACUUACAAGGAGUCGGAGCGGACGUAUUUAUACGAUCCGUCACGGCGUGCCUAUUGAAGAAUGAGCCAACGAGUUUAUCUAUGCUGCAGGCUAAGCUGUUAGAACAGUGGAGCCUUAGGGAAACCGAGUGUUAAUAGCGCGAAAUUUAUGUAGUUUAGAUAAGACCCGAAGCCAGGUGAGCUUGCCAUGAGCAGGAUGAACCCUGUCGAAAGAUGGGGGGAGGUCCGAACCGGUGACCCGUGCAAUAGUCUCGGAUGACUUGUGGUAAGGAGUGAAAAGCUAAUCGAACCUGGUAAUAGCUGGUUCUCUCCGAAAUAGCUUUAGGGCUAGCGUUACGUGUUCCUCUUGGGGGUAGAGCACUGGAAGGUUUCGACAGGGAGCAAUCUCGCGACACCUAUCAAACUCCGAAUACCAAGAGUUAGAACGUAGCAGUUAGGCUAUGGGGGCGAAGCUCCAUCAGCCAAAAGGGAAACAGCCCAGAUCUCUAAUUAAGGUCCCUAAAUUUACGCUAAGUGCAAACCAAGGAGGUGAAAUUUCUCUGACAAUGAGGAUGUUGGCUUAGAAGCAGCCAUCAUUUAAAGAAAGCGUAACAGCUCACUCAUCAAGAGAUCUCGCACCGAAAAUAAUCGGGGCUAAGCGUAAUACCGAAAUUGAGGGCUUUGCUUUUCUUCGGAAAAGCGGAGCGGUAGGAGAGUAUUCUAUACAGCGUCGAAGCUAAAGGGGUGACCCAUAGUGGAGCGUAUAGAAGUAAGAAUGUUGGCACAAGUAACCGCAAGGAAGGUGAGAUCCCUUCCCGCCGAAAGAUUCAGGUUUCCUUGGCAAUGGUGAUCAUCCAAGGGUUAGUCGGUCCUAAGGGAAUGGCGAAAGCCGCACUCGAUGGGCACAUGGUUAAUAUUCCAUGACUUCUGUUGUAUUCGAAGAUAGGACGGAGUGUAGUAUAUAAAGCUCAUUAUUGGAUUUGAGUUUGUGAGUGAAGAUGGUUUCUAGGAAAAUCCGGAAACUGACGUUAAAGUAACAUCUAAGCAAAGCAUAAAUAUGUGGGUUCGCCCAUGUAAAUUUUAUAAAGCACGCUUCCAAGAAAAGUAUCUAAGGUUAAUACAAUAGAAUCCGUACCGUAAACCGACACAGGUAAUCUGGUCGAGCAGACUAAGGCGAACGAGUGAGAGGUCUUCAAGGAACUCGGCAAAAAAGCAGCCGUAACUUUGGAAUAAGGCUUGCCGUUCUUAAUUUAUUAAGAUCGGCCGCAGCGAAAGUAUCUCUGGCAACUGUUUAUCAAAAACACAGCUCCCUGCGAACUCGCAAGAGGAUGUAUAGGGGGUGACGCCUGACCAAUGCCAGAAGGUCAACUAUCGGUGGUGAUAUGACUUCGGUUGUAUUGCUGGCUGAUAUAAGCCCUGGUGAAUGUCGGCCGUAACUAUAACGGUCCUAAGGUUUUGCAUUCGAGCGAAAGCUGGAAUGUAAAACGGACUAGGACGGUUAUAGAAAACGAUAAACAAUUUAUAAAAAUUUCAUGAACCAUUUUAGCUACCUAUUGAUGUAGUAAUAUAUCUUUAGUCCAAACUUGAUGAAUGAGAGACCAACGUCAAGCAUCCGAACUCUGCAAAGAGAGGAUGAAGAUAGAGUCCUUCUUAGGGGUACAGAAGAGCGAAGUACCUUGUCGGGUAAGUUCCGACGCGCACGAAUGGCGUAAUGACUGGAGAACUGUCUCGAAGACCUGCUCGGUGAAAAUACAAUACCGGUGAAGAUGCCGGUUACCUGCAGAUAGACGAAAAGACCCUAGAAGCUUUACUGCAGCUUGAUAUUGAGUAUGUGAUUAUACUGCGUAGCAUAGAUGGGAGAGGUUUGAUGGUUCCGAUUUCGGUUGGGAUCUACUCGUCAGUGAAAUACCAUUCUUUGUGACUGCAUAUUCUAAUUUCUAAGGCAAAAACUUAGAGAGACAGUAUCUGGUGGGUAGUUUUACUGGGGCGGUAUCCUCCUAAAGAGUAACGGAGGAGUUUAUUAAGGUUAGCUAGGCGCGAAUGGAAACCGUGCCGAUAGUGUAAUGGCACAAGCUGGCUUAACUGUAAGACGUACUUGUCGAGCAGAUACGAAAGUAGAACAUAGUGAACCGACAUUUCGCAUUAGAUGCGGAUGAAGAUUAACGGAUAAAAGCUACUCUAGGGAUAACAGGCUAGUUCCGCCUAAGAGUUCAUAUCGACGGCGGAGUUCGGCACCUCGAUGUCGGCUCACCUUAUCCUGGUGGUGGAGAAGCUGCCAAGGGUUUAGCUGUUCGCUAAUUAAAAAGGUACGCGAGCUGGGUUCAAACCGUUCAGAGAUUAAUCAUGUAACAAUGAUUGAGAAUUGGACAGUUUGAACCAAUCGAGGAAGAAGAGAAAAGAAAUUUUCUCAGAAAUGUUUUAAUCUGAGAUUAAGACCGUGUGUACUGUGGUACACUCACGGCGGCAUACAUUAAAUUGUAUGAGAAGUUCACUUAUAUCGGUGAAAUCCUACUUGUAAAAGAGGAUAAUACCGAGGGAAAGUAUUCAUACUACCCGUAGAGACUAAAUGUGAAAUAGUUCAUAACUUUGUUAUGGAUGAAAGUUAUAGUCCAAUCCCUUUAGUAAUAAAGGUUCGAUCAUUAUUAUUGAAACGCGAUAAUGAGAGAAGUAAAAUAUAGAUGCGUGAGACAGGUUGGUCUCCUAUCUACUGCAGGCGUUGAUUCUUGAGAAGAUUUGCUCCUAGUACGAGAGGACCGGAGUGAACUGACCUCUGGUGUGUCGGCUCUAGCGCCCGCUGGACUGCCGAGUAGCUAUGUCGGGAAUGGAUAACCUCUGAAAGCAUCUAAGAGGGAAGCCAGCUUCAAGAUGAGGAAUCGUUUGAGAAACCUAAGAGAUGAUUAGGUUGAUAGGCACUAGGUGUACGCACAGUAAUGUGUUCAGCCAAGGUGUACUAAUCGUUCGAUUCCUAUUAGG
rnacentral:rRNA from 1 species